rnacentral:rRNA from 1 species
GGAGUAAUUYUAAACGGCCGCGGAAUUUUAACCGUGCUAAGGUAGCAUAAUCAUUUGUCUUUUAAUUAAAGACUUGUAUGAAUGGUUUAAUGAAAUAAAGCUAUCUCUAAAAUAUUAAAUAAAAAUUAUUUUUAAAGUGAAAAAUCUUUAAUAAAAUAAAAAGACAAAAAGACCCUAUAGAGUUUAAUUUAUCUGUAUAGGCACAUAUAUAUAUAUAAAUUUAGUUGGGGCAACUAAUGAAAAAAAAAAUUUCUUUUUAAAAAAAAAAAUAAAAUCAUUAAUUUAAUACUAUAAAACAAAUUACCUUAGGGGUAACAGCGUAAUUUUUUUUAAGAGCNCAAAUCNAARAAAAAAAUUAC